rnacentral:rRNA from 1 species
GAGUUUGAUCUUGGCUCAGAUUGAACGCUGGCGGAAUGCUUUACACAUGCAAGUCGAGCGGCAGCGCGGGGCAACCUGGCGGCGAGCGGCGAACGGGUGAGUAAUGCAUCGGAACGUGUCCAUGUCGUGGGGGAUAGCCCGGCGAAAGCCGGAUUAAUACCGCAUACGCCCGAGAGGGGAAAGUGGGGACCGCAAGGCCUCACGCGAUUGGGUCGGCCGAUGUCCGAUUAGCUAGUUGGCGGGGUAAAGCCCACCAAGGCGAUGAUCGGUAGCUGGUCUGAGAGGAUGAUCAGCCACACUGGGACUGAGACACGGCCCAGACUCCUACGGGAGGCAGCAGUGGGGAAUUUUGGACAAUGGGGGCAACCCUGAUCCAGCCAUUCCGCGUGAGUGAAGAAGGCCUUCGGUUG